CUAAACUUAACAUACUGCCCUGCACAUAGAUUUCUACUUUCCCAGCCUGCAGUUUCUUCUGCAACGGCCCCCUGAAGUGGGAUUUUUGACUCCUCACCAGCCCAGGCCAUCCAAGAUGGCUGCUCUGCAUAUCAACACUACAGCGUCCUACUCUCAUGCGACUGGAAGGCACCAUAACAACUGCUAACCUGAAUCGAACGUGUUCUGUGUAUUGGAAUGUGGUCACCUCAGAUAUGAUGUCACUCCCAGCUCAGACUUUCGAGAUUUUGAAAAGAGAUCCAACAUAGUUUCAGCUCUUACCUCGUUUCAUCAACCAGCGGCUCCUUUUCCAGCUACCCAGCCUUCAGCACCUCUACAGCCAACAGCCUUGCCCUGAGGUCCAGUGAGCUCCACACUAUCCACCGGCACCACCGUGAGCUACCUCUCCUCCUCUUCCUCCUCCUCUCACCACUGAAGCAUCAAUACAUUUCUUUGCUACUUUACACAUUGUUUAUUUAUUUGUCUUGCCUACAGUUUUGAAUGCAAAAGUAAACCUGCAGAUGAUGUGUAACUGCCCCUGUUAGCUGGAAAACACAGUGGUCCCACGUCAUGUAGUCUCAUAUGGUCCAUGUAUGAACUGGACACUUCAUACUUGUUUUUCUGAGGAAAUAUCCAGGCGUCUGACCAAAAAUACUCAAAACACCCCA